rnacentral:lncRNA from 1 species
AGCAUUACUUAUAUUUAUUUUUGGCUCAUUUUACAGGAUAGUAGACGUUUUAUAGGGAUAAAUUUAGAUUUAUCUAAGACUGAGGAAGAAUUGAAUAUAAGUGAGAAAGCACUUGAAAGAAUGCAUGAUUUUCAAUUCGUUAGAAUCAAGGAUAAGAAUCGUGCUCAGACUGAGAGACUGCAGUCAGUACUGGAAGGUCUGAUUUAUCAUUCUCAAAAGAUUAGAUUACUGGAUUGGAGUUAUUUCCAGGAUAUAUGUUUGCCUUCUACUUUUAAUCCGGAGUUUCUCGUCGAACUAACUCUGAAAUACAGCAAGCUUCAAAAGCUAUGGGAAGGAACUAAAGUAAGUAGUUUUGAUUAAAACUUUCAAUUUUCAAUUUUGUAAAAAUCUAUAAUUUGUUUCCGAAAAUGUUUUUUCUUAACAAACUCCAAAUUUAUAGGCCAAUCGUAUCAACAUGAUCUUCUUUGUCAAAUGCAGAAACUUAAAAAUCUCAAAUGGAUGGAUUUGGGUGGUUCUGAAGAUCUAAAAGAGCUUCCCGAUCUUUCAACAGCAACUAAUCUCGAAGAAGUAAAUCUCCGAAAUUGCUCAAGUUUAGUGGAACUUCCGUCUUCAAUUGGGAAUGCAACCAAACUUGAGCUACUGAAUCUUGAUGAUUGCUCGAGUCUUGUGAAGCUUCCAUCCUCUAUCAAUGCCCCUAAUCUGCAGAAAUUGUCUCUAAAUAAUUGUUCACGUAUAGUGGAGCUUCCCGCUAUCGAGAACGCAACUAGUCUCCGGAAAUUGUUUCUCGUUAAUUGCUCAAGUCUGGUGAGAAUCCCUUCUUCUAUUCAGAAUGCGACCAAUCUCCGGGAAUUUGAUCUCACAGAUUGCUCAAAUCUUGUGGAGCUUCCAUCUAUUGGGGAUGCAAUCAAACUUGAGCGACUGUGUCUUGAUAAUUGCUCAAAUCUUGUGAAGCUUUUCUCCUCUAUCAAUGCAACUAAUCUCCAUAAAUUUUCUCUAAGCGAUUGCUCAAGUCUUGUGGAGCUCCCCGAUAUCGAGAAUGCGACUAAUCUCAAGGAAUUAAUUCUCCAAAAUUGCUCAAGUCUACUAGAGCUCCCUCCUUCUAUUGGAACUGCCACAAAUCUGAAGAGAUUGAAUAUUAGCGGAUGCUCAAGUCUCGUGAAACUCCCCUCCUCUAUUGGAGAUAUCACUAAUCUCCAGGAAUUGUAUCUCAAUAAUUGUUCACGUGUUGUGGAGCUCCCCGAUAUCGAGAAUGCGACUAAUCUCAAGGAUUUAAUUCUCCAAAAUUGCUCAAGUCUACUAGAGCUCCCUCCUUCUAUUGGAACUGCCACAAAUCUGAAGAGAUUGAAUAUUAGCGGAUGCUCAAGUCUCGUGAAACUCCCCUCCUCUAUUGGAGAUAUCACUAAUCUCCAAGUGUUUGAUCUAUCCAACUGCUCAAGUCUACUAGAGCUCCCUCCUUCUAUUGGAACUGCCACAAAUCUUUGGAGAUUGAAUAUCAGUGGAUGCUCAAGUCUCGUGAACUCCCCUCCUCUAUUGGGGAUAUGACUAAUCUCGUAGCUUUUGAUCUAUCCAACUGCUCAAGUCUUGUGGAGGUUCCAUCCGCUAUAGGAAAACUUCAAAAAUUGUCUGAGUUGAAAAUGAGAGAAUGCUCAAAGCUAGAGGCUCUUCCAACAAAUAUCAACUUGGAAUCUCUCCGUACACUUGAUCUCACAAAUUGCUCCCAGUUGAAAAGAUUUCCUGAGAUCUCCACAAACAUUAAGUAUCUCAGGCUCACAGGAACUGCAAUAAAAGAAGUUCCUUUGUCGAUCAUGUCAUGGUCUCGUCUUUAUGACUUUGGGAUUUCAUACUUUGAAAGCCUCAAGGAAUUCCCGCAUGCUCUUGACAUCAUCACGGAGCUGCAGUUGAACGAAGAUAUACAAGAGGUUGCUCCAUGGGUCAAGGGAAUGUCUCGUUUACGUAAACUCAAGCUCUACAACUGCAACAAUCUGGUAUCACUCCCCCAACUUUCAGAUUCCCUAUCUUACUUAGAUGCAGAUAAUUGUCAAUCCCUUGAGAGACUGGAUUGUACCUUUAACAAUCCAGAUAUUCGUCUCAAAUUCUCCAAAUGCUUCAAUUUGAAUCAAGAAGCCAGAGAUCUUAUCAUGAACACAUCGACUUUUCAUCCUGCGAUCAUAUCAUGUACACAAGUGCCUGCCUGCUUCAAUCACCUGGAGAUGUUACCGGAUAGUUCUGGGGGUUCCUUGACAAUCAAGUUGAAUGAGUCGCCUCUUCCCACAUCCUUGAGAUUUAAGGCUUGUUUCAUGCUGGUUAUGGGUAACGAAGAAACUGGUGCUGAUAAGAGUUUGAUGGAAGUAAUGAUUAACAUCAGGGACAAACAGAAUGAUCUCAAAGUUCGGUGUACACCAAGCCUUUAUAGUAUACAGCCACUUUUAACAGAGCAUAUAUACACAUUUGAAGUUGAAACAGAGGAGGUGACUUCCACCGAGCUUGUCUUUGAGUUCAAAACACGCUAUAGCAAAUCUUGGAGGUCCCUUCCUGAUUGGAAGAUCAAAGACUUGGGGAUAUCUUGGAGGUCCCUUCAUGAUAGCAAUUGGAAGAUCAAAGACUUGGGGAUAUCUUGGAGGUCCCUUCAUGUAGAUGAGCGUCGAUGGGAUACUGUUAGAAAUUUUAACCCAUUUUCAUCUUUAAUUUAUUUGAAGUUUAUGACGUUGUACGUGUGAAAGAUUAUCAAUGUGCAGUGUUGGGUUAUGUUUAAAAUUUAAAUUAAUUGCAGUGAAGAAGAUAUAUGCAAACAAGGACGGUGAAGAUAAGAGACGAGGAAGAGAAGAAGCUGUUGAGACUUUAAAAUUCAUGUAUUGAAAGCAAGAUUGAAUUUCCCACCUGAUGCAGAUAAAAAGGUACCUUUGGUGUUUGUUGUUUGCUGGACUUUUGAAUUCUUCUUUUGGGAGAUUUUAGAACUGCUUUCAUUGAAUUUUCAGUUUAAGCUAAACAUGUAUUAGGAUGGAGCAAUAUCAAGUGGAAGAUAGGAGAAUGCGGGAUACUCCAAACCUUGGAGGUUCCUUCGUGUUAAUGAACAUGGUGAGGUUAAAAACUUUUAUCCCAUUUCCAUCGUUAAUUAUGUGAUUCUAUAAGUUUUAAAAUUUGUGCAUAAUUGAUACUAAUUGCAGAUAAGGAGAUAUAUGCAAACAAAGAUAGAGAUGUUAAAACCGUAUUUUCAGAUUUGUUUUCAUUUUUAAGUUAAUGUGUUGUCUCUCUGUAACAAAUGAGCCUCUUUUUAUUGAAUAUAUAUACAAUAGAAGGGAAAAAAAACAACCCAGAAAUACAACAAAUUUGGCCCAAAAUUGUCUCUCUGUAACAAAUGAGCCUCUUUUUAUUGAAUAUAUAUACAAUAGAAGGAAAAAAAACAACCCAGAAAUAAUCUAUUUAAGCAUACAAUAGCAGAGCAGAUAUUUUCCAGGAUACAUAAUAAACAGAUGAUGCAUGUUUUGUUUGGACACAAUCUGUGUGUGUUUUAUUUACUUUCCAUAUUAUAGAAACAUGCAAAGUUCCCAUCAAGCUUGCAAGAAGCUAGCGUACUUCGCACCCAGGAGAAGCCUCUGGAUGCACAAGAGGGCGUUCUUGGUGACCUCGGCGUUCUCGUGGUUCAUCAGUUUCAUCACUCGUUCUUUCGCCUUGAGGUCUGUUAAGAUCACUCUCCCCGCUGCAUGGUACUGUAUGAACUGUGAUAGAUCAAAGCAUGCCACCGCCAACGAUCUUGGAUCACUAGACGUGUCCAGGAUCGUGAGGAGGACCCUGAGUAUCUGUAUCCAACAAGUUUUAACAUGUGAUUAGGAGGACCAGCCCGCUUUGUGCCCUUUGAUUACCGAGACAGGUUAAAAGAAGAAAUACCUGGAAGUCAUUUUCCUCAAAGCUUGUGACAUUCUCACGCCAGAAAUUGGCAUCUUUGUGCAUUGGGUUCCAAUCAAGAUGGCCAAGAAGAACCUCUUGCUUAUACUUGUCAAAGGAACUCAAUUUCCUGAUCUUGUCUUUUAGCCCUUCUUCUAGUUGGUUCAGUGCAUCCAGCAAGUCCUUACAAGUUCAGAAUUUAGCGAGUUUAACUAUGACCAUCAAGUACUAAAAACACAUCUAAUGUUAUCGGCAUCACUUCUAUUAACCAAAUUUCUCGCUGUAGCUUUAGCAGAAAUUAAAGAAAUUCAUCUUCCCCACGACAACUAAUAAGCAGCAGUCCUCAGGCUUUGUAUUUAAAUUGUCUUCUUACCUCAUCACUCCAUGCUUGUGUUUUUAGACUGUGGAUAAUAUGUGGGAGUCCAAGAUCAACCAUCUGGGCACCAAAUGUACCUUUUGGAAGCAAGUUCCUGAACGUCAAUAUGACCACCCUGACAACCUGUAAGAUAUAAUACCGUCAAAUAAACAUAAUAACAAGUGCAUGUGCAUCACACCACAUUUAUGCAAGUUAAAGAUCAGACAAAAAAACAUAACUCACCUUUUCCUUUGUCGAGCUCUUAACCACUUCCGUGAGCCUUUGCAUUGUCCUAGAUGUUGCUAAGUACUCUAUUGCAGGCUCAUAAUAGGACAGAAGCCACACGCAGAGACAUGUUUCAUACAAAAUCUGUGGUUAAAAGCACACAAAUCACAGGAAUUAGGUACUGAGAAAUUAUAGCAAAAAGAGAGUUGUUCUUUCUUCUGACAACUAAAACAGAACUAUCUCAUUGUUACUAAUUUGUCCAGCCCACACUUUAGAACAAGGAAGCAAUAUAAAUCAACAGAUUUAGUAGUUAUUUGAAAUUCAAAGUUAUUUUCACCCCCAGAGUGUCUGUCUAGUAAUCACUAAUCACCUUUCUGCCAAGAACUUUGCAUGAUUUGGAAACUGCCAUACUUAUUUACAACUCUAGUGGAAAUUACUUCCCCUAAAAAUAUAGUUACCUGGAUAGAUUGCUGAGUGGAUGCAGGGGAGAUUAAAGGGACAAGUAACUUAACCCCAUCUGCCUGAACAAACGACGAUCUGACAACAUGUUCCUUAAGCAGUGAUGAUAGGCAGCUGAUUGCAAUUGGAACACCACGAGUAGGAUGAGAAGGUUGCUUCAACUGCAUAUCAAAGCCAAGGAUUGUAAUAUCCAUGGUGGACAUCAAAAGCUUUUCUGGAUUCACUAUGUCACAACAUAAAGGUUCCCUAAAUAUCAAACUCGCAUCAACUUAUUAGCCAACAUCAAAGACUUUUUGCCUACUCAGAAUAAUUGUUUGUUUGUGUUAGUGUUUGCAUUUGCGUAAUUUAACAAAGACAUGGUGAGAGUGGAAUUGUUAUUGCUGAUUUUCACAAAAUAAAUGUUAUAUGAGCUCUAGCUCUAACAAUGGCAUUGCCUACAAGACAAAAAAAACUAGCACUUAAAACAACAAUGCAAGACCAACAUAAACUAGAACGAGAGAAAGAGAAAAGAAGAAGAAACCUGAGCACAAAGCCAUUCCACCAACCCUUUGAGAACAUCAUCAAGUGUAGUAAUCUGUUUCUUUGAACCCGAAGCUUCUCCAUUAGCAAUAACACCAUCACCAGAUUUUGGCCUAGCACUAUAUGUAAAUGAGGCUGUAUGUUACAUACAUGAAAUGAUAGAAUUAUGAUAGAUAAGCUUUAUUAAAUACCUUAUUAUCCAGGCAAGGAUCUUGCAGCUUUUUUCUUGAAUGAACCAAUUUCCCUUCCACAGCAACCUGAAAAGAACAUAUCUUUUAGCUUGCCUACUUUUGCAGAUAAACAGACAAAAUCAAGCAUACAGUGACUUUGACUAAACACUUUGUCUCUAUAUAUGUCGUUUGAUAAAGAUCAUCUAUUUUUUUCAUACAGUUUCACCGAGCCCCAACCAAGUUAUUGCCAAUGCUAUUUGGUUGAAGAACAAAUACUACUUGCCUGUAGCUGAAAGCAGUUCCCCCCAAUGGAGCAUAUGUUUCCCCUUUUGUCAGGAGGAUUGUAUUUAGUUUAACAAACUGACUCAUCAUCACUCAAUUCUGGAUCUCAGAAAAAAACGAGCAAGGACCAAGGCAAUAGAACAGAAAAAGCAACGAAAUCUUGUGCUGGACCACUACAAUUUAUUUACAGGACAGAAACAUCAGGUCAAGUGAAAAUGUCCCACUAAACAUAACACACCGAGAUUAAUUCUUUUUUGAAAAAUAGCCAUUUCCAAUCACUAGGAAAGGUUAGGUUCAUUUGACACCAUAGAUACAGUAGAAUACAAGAAAUGAGCAAAAUCCAAGAAGUCCUAGACCUUCCCAAAGCAGAAAGAACACAUACGAUCAAAUAAGCGACUUUAUCCCCCUUAACAAUACUUGUCUGAACCAAAAUACAGUCAUAAAGCUAUACCAUAGGGGCUCACCUCAAGAAAGGCUCGUAAGUAUCCUCAUGUGCCAAAGAUUUAUCAUGGAAUAACCGAGCUCGUGUCGGGUUUUCUGUCAAACAGUUGAUACAUUAAUAUUAAUCGGUAUCUAACUAAAUGAAGAAAAUUUAAAAGCACAUAUCUUCAGGUUCCAUUUACCUGAGAGCAUUUCAUAAAUCAAAGCCAAAACAUAUUCAACUGUUUCUUCCUUGAAUAUAUCACGUAAAAUGCUAACAAACAGAUGAACAUAAGCUGGACCAUCCUGCAAUAACACCACCACAUAUUAUCACUUCAUAACAACAAGGUAAACGCUUGCAUGAUCAUUAUACAAAACUUCAACCACUAAUCAGAAGAAAGCUUUGUAGAAGAUUUACUUCAUCCAGCAACUGUGCCCUUGCACUUUCGGGUUUUUUAUCGUAGCGCCUUAAAUGCUGGAGACUUGUUGCUGAAAUCAGCUUAGUUGUCAUGUAAGUCUCCCAUGGUAUGUCUCUUUUCAAUACCUACAAACAGCAACAGAGAUUGAAUCAAUUCUGCAGAUUUACUUACUUAAUGAAUAAGUAAAUGUAUGCAAAAUAAAAUCACAAACCUGCUCUAAAGUUAGUUCUGCAUGAUCCAUGGAUAUAGUUCAGAAGCUUAAACAACACUUGAGAUUAUUGAACACUACUGAUCCAAAACCCUACAAUUGUAAGACAGAACAAAGCAUAACUUUCUGAAUUGUGACUAUUUUUUCAAUCAAACAAACACGAUCUACAAGCAUCCAUGAAAUGUGAAGAAGAAAAUUUUCAAAAACUCAGAUCAAGUAGCAAACGCAAUUCAAAUACUUUCAAAAUCGAUUGAAUCAGAAUGAUAGAAUAAAGAAAGGAUUUGAUUUAAGAAAAGUGAAAUUGAGUUUUUGACCUGAAGGAGAAGACAAAAGUGAAUGAUCAAGAGAGAUUGAGAGAGCUUCUCUUAAACUCGGAUCUGAAGCGUGGAAGGAAGUUAGAAGAAGAAGAAGAAGAAGAAGAAGACAGCUUUCUAUUUACUGGAAAUUACGAUAUUAUCCCUAUCUUUUUUCGCCUUCGUGUCGUCUUCUUCGGUGGGUCUGACGUUGCCGUUGGAUCUUUCUACGGAGGUUUUGUGUUUACCGGCGAAUCGAUUCCGUUGGUCGAAGAUGGACCCGUCGGUUUUUUUUUUUGCAGGAAUUGAUGUAUAUUUGGGCCUUUGGGAAGCCGAAAAGGCCCAUUAAAGAUUGAUUAAUUAAAGAUUGGUUAAGCCCAUUAAUCAAUUUCUUUUGGAAGUUGAGAUGUGUGAUUGAUUUAGUCAUGGAGUGUUGAAAUUAAUAAUCCAUGGUUGAUAUAUUUUGAUGUAUAUUUGCAGAGGGUAUAUUGGAUGUGUAUGGACAGAAAGAGGGAAUUUGUCUAAUAUUGGUGUUGUUGCUUGACUUUGAAACUCCUUUUGGGAGAUUUUGGAACAUUUUUCAUUGAAUUUUUAUGUUAAGCCAUAAAAAUUUGGAAAUUCAUCCAUGGAAAUUCCAAAAACUUUAUUUUAUUUUUGGGCGGACAACAAUCUGUCAGAUACCAAAUUUUCUAUGUAAAAGCUGUCAGAUUUAGUUUAAGACUAUUUUUUUUUUGCCAGCAGUCAUAAACUAUAAUCUAUAAAUAUUAUUAAACCAAAGGUAAUUUAAUCUAUAAACGGUUUUAUCGCCGUACCCGUAAUCAUUCAAAGCUUUAGAAGCUUUUUUUUUAAAAAAAUUUAAAUCUAAGAAAUCGAACCAAUAAACUUGAAACCAUCAAAAUCCAAACAAAAUCGAAUCGUAGUAAACCAAAAAAGAAAAAGAAAAAACGAAUCACCUAGUGGUAAAUCUCUGUUGGGAUUAUUAUAUUCCUCACAACAGAAUUUUAAAUUUUUAUUGUUUAACUUAACCAUGGUUAACACAUUAAACCCUAGGGUUAGAUUUUGACCACCUUCGUAUAAAUAUAUAUGUAAAACCCUACAUCACUCGCAGCCCCCAAUAAAUUACAUCUGCAAUUCUGCACCACGAAACCAAUUCUGCAUUCUCUCGAUUUGCUUAUCAUUUUCUCUGUUUCUUUUAUACAAUUGUGUUUUUUGUUUCACUUCUUUCUAAUGAUUUUUUAUAGUUGUAUACCCAUCUGAUUGCAAAUGAUGAGUUAAUCACCAUUGAUAAAAGAAGCUCAAAUUAUUGAGUAGUGUUGGAAAUCAUAAACUUCCAUGACUCUGAUGCAAUUUUUAUCAAGAAAACCUCAAAUUCUUGAUCAGUAUUUUUUUUCUGUUCUUUCUCAGAUUUUGUUAAUAAUCAUUGAAUUUUGGUUUUCAAAUCUAUUUUUAUUUGUUAAAUUAUUCGCUACAUUGUUUUUUGACAUUCGAUUUCAGUCAGAUCUACCUAAAUUAUUUCUAUUCAAAAGUAUUUCUCAUUAGUGUUUUUAAUCUAUUUUUUUUAUGCAUAUUUAGGGCAUACACAAUGGGACAAGUGGGAGGAUGUGUGUUAGUGGUAAUUUAUUAUUAAAAUAACUUAAGAGGUUAAGUUUAAAAAUAAAGAAAAAGACUAACCGAAAUCGUUGUCAAGCUUAAAACUGCUGCCUUUAUUCAUCGCAACCACUCAUAGGAAGACAAGUGAGAUAACACCCGAGUGUUAUCACACAUCCGGAUUCAGUCUCCAAACGCACUAUUCCAUUAUUUUCGAUUUUUUUAUUACUCACACCCCUCUAAAAAUUAUCCCACUGUGUAUGGUCUUAGGCCAUACAUAGAGGCGCAACUUUUGUUCGGGUGUUAUAAUUAAAAAAAAAACAAAAAAAAACAAAUAGUGAUGAAAGGGAAAAAAGAUGGGUAUAGACUUACAAUUGGGUGUAAGUGCCACAUGUCUCACUCUCCUUUCUAUUAUUUCUCUAUUAUCUCUCUCCCUCUUCUCUCUUUUUUUUUAUUAUCACAUAAAAAAUAUUCUAACAUAUAUACUCAAGUUUAUUCACUGUGGAUGCUCUUAGUGUCUUAUAUAACUUGAAUUGAAUUUGAUCAAAAUUGAACUUCUGGAUAACCAAACUGAAAAAAAAAGUAAAUCAAAAACUGUAACAGUGACGAAGUAAUGAACAAGAAAAGCUCCAUUAAUAUACACCAAGAGAAAAAGAUGAAGAAGCUGGAAUCAAUCAGUAGUGGUUUUGGUGCCCAAUAGCCGUUAAAAUGUUGUUAUCAUUACAAUUCUCAUAACCAAACAAAAAAUAAACAACAAUGGAUUGUCUUCUGUUCUAAGAAUCGAAGUUACGAAGCAUCAUUAUCAUUGUCCCCAUCGAAAUAUUCAUCGUCUCUUUGGACCUGCUUAUCUCGCGAACGCUCUGAAACAAUCAAACCGUUUACAAUCGAACAUUAGUCACUGAGAAAACAAAGGGAUUAGAUUUCAAGGUGGUUAUCGAUACUUACGAUCCACACGUACAUCCGGGUUUUGUUCAUCUUCAUCAAAAUCCGGUAUGUAGAAAUCCGGUGGAACCUAUGAAAUUCAAGUAAAAAACUGAUCAGUAUUAAGAUAACACCAAAAAAAAGAAGAUUGAUUAAAGCAUCAGUUGUCCUACGAUGAUCCGAGUUUACCUCCUGCAUCUGUACGCUUGGAGCGUGUUGAAUGUAUCGCAAGUUCUCCAAAAUCUGCACUUUGAUCGAACUGAUGUAUGAUUUGGUAUUCAGAUUCUCCUGUUUCAAUUUCAAAACACAAAACAUCAAGUAUAUAGAUUUUGUUAAAGCAAUGAGGAACUAUAAGUGACAUAAGAGCUCCUUACAAUGUGACCACCUGGUAUCUUCAAAGAAAAAUCCGGCGCAAAAUACUUGAUGUAGUCAUUUUCAGGAAUCUCUGCAGAACAAUUAACCCGUGAGCAUGUGACGUUAACCGUACUAUAACAAACAUUAAGAAAUUUACUAACCAUUAGGAAGUUCUGUGUCCAAAAGAAUGCCAGUCUCAACGGUCCAACACCGAGCUACAUUCUCCUUUGUGUAUCCUCCACCUCCUGUAACCUAAUAAACAAUCAGUAAAAAACUGACUCCGUCAUCAACGAACUUAUGAUUACAGAAAGGAGUCGUACAUAUAGAGUCAAGAGAGAUUAAAUACCAGUAAGGGAAGAUUGAACUUCUUCACAAAUUUAACACAUUCGGCAUGUCCUGGAAAAUGCAUAGCAGAAGCCAUUUUAAAACCCGAUUCGCAAAGAAACUAGCAAACGAGAGAUUGAAAGAGAGAAAGAGAUUUUGAUUACAAGAAGAAAAAGCACCAUCAAUAGAGAGAUUAAAGCAUCCUAGUCGAUCCCUGGCCAAUGAAUCUGCCCCACAUUGAAGAACAAUUGCACCCGGUUGAUAUAUCUCAACAACCUUGGAAAUUAUCUAGAGAUCAAAGAAAAUGAUCAAACACACAAAAACAGUGAAAGCAUUGAGAAUUUGAUUGUUUCAGUUCAAGAACUUACUGUCCUGAACAGACGGUUGAAACUACUGUCAUCAAUUCCAUCCUUCAGCGGCACAUUAAUGGCGUAAUAUUUCCCUUCUCUUUCUCCUAUUUCCUUUUAAAAGAAAAAAAAAAACAUCACAAUGAAAAUUCAUCCAAACACAUUGAAACCGUCCUCACAAAUCAGGAAAUGAAUUCUGAAUAUUACUACCUUAACAUCGCCUGUCCCUGGAAAGAACUUAUCCCCAAACUUAUGAAAGCUAACAGUCAUUACUCUGCCAUAACAAAAUUCAAAGAUAUUAGCAAUCAAUUUCUAUAGAAACAACUUUCGAGAAGUAGUGUUAUGGACUUGUAACUGUACCUGUCAGUGAAGUAAAAAGCUUCUUCAACUCCAUCACCGUGAUGAACAUCUAUAUCUAUGUAUAGCACACGGGGAUGGUGUUUUAACAACUCAAGAAUUCCUAGUACAAGAUCGUUGAUGUAACAAAACCCAGAUGCAUCACAUUUUUUGGCAUGGUGCAGCCCGCCCGCCCAAUUUAUAGCAAUGUCACAGAGUUUGUUGUUUAACCUGCGUGCAGCAUCUAUAGACAAAAUUUGCAGUCAGUCAUUUCUCAAAAGUGACAAGCAAACAUUAAUAUCAACUACGUGUAUUUACCUAUGGUUCCGCCGGCGUAAAUUUGACAAAAUUCAAACAAAUCUUCAAAGACAGGACAAUCCUCUCCAAGAUUAUCUGCAUCACAGUAACUUAUUUCAGCAGAACAUGUAGAUUGCAAAACCAAUUAAUGAAGAUACACAACUUACAUCUAGCCAUUUCAUUGGGAAACAAGUUUUGAUUUUCUGGAUUGAUUCGUUGCAGGAAUUCCACGUAGUCGGGAGAAUGGAACUGAGCCAUCUCAAUAGGAUAUGCCUUGUGUGGACGCUGAAACAAUAGAGAACAUAAAAUGAUGUACAGUGAGAUCGUAAACAAAAGGAAUAAAGGAUCAAGAACAAGAAACAUGAAAGAUGAGCAAGAGACUGACAUAAACUUCCAUCUUGCUAUGGAAACCAUAUGCAUGGAUAAGAUAAUGAGUCAUACAAAGCCUGUGAGAUUUCAUCGGGUGAUUCGGACCAAAAUACACGCUCCCCACAUCCCCUGCAACCCAAAAAAAAAAAAAAAACAUUCAGCAUAACAUCACAAUCUCCUAUAAACUGCCACAAAGGCUCGAUCAUCAACAAGAAAAUAAUCUGAAACUCUCAUCAGAGUUUGAAUCAUGCAGAACAUCUUGAAGUACGAAAAAGGGAAGUUAUAAAAGUCAGAGAGAGACUUCACGGUUCCAGCCUCUGCAAACAGAGGCGAUGACAGGGAACUGUUUGUAGGAGGCGCGAAGGAGACACUCGCGAGCAACGUCGUCGGAAAGAUUGGGGAUAAGUUCCAUCGAGAAAGUAUCAAAGAUUGAAACUUUUAUUUAUCUGUUUGUGGAAAAGUGAAGAAGAUUGAAGCUUUAGAAGAGGGAGAGAUAUUGAAACAGUUUUAGUAAAAGAGAGAAUUUUGGAUUGAGAGCAGGUUGAAGAUGAUGAUGAUGGUGAUUGUGAAUGGGGAAGAGGAGAGUGUGCCGCUUUAUAGAUAUUUGAAGAUAAGUGUUUAAUUCUAGAAACUUGUUGAUUCAUUCCUCGUUUUUUUUUCUUUAAUACUACAAGUUUGAGCAACUGGAUUGUGGAAUUUCCCUCGUUUUUCAGAUUGCUCGCAAUUGAAAAGUUUUCCUGAGAUUUCUAAUAAUAUUGUGGAUUUCAAACUCCUAGGAACUGGAAUCAAAGAGGUUCCUUUGUCGAUCAUGUCGUGGUCUCGUCCUUUAAAAUUUCGGAUGUCAUACUUUGAAAGCCUCAAGGAAUUCCCGCAUGCUUUUAACAUCAUCACGGAGCUGGUUUUGGUAAGGGAAGAUAUACAAGAAGUUCCUCCAUGGAUCAAGGGAAUGUCUCGUUUACGUAGACUUAGACUCUACAACUGCAAUAAUCUGAUUUCACUCCCCCAGCUUUCAAAUUCCCUAUCUUGGAUAGAUGCAAAUAACUGUAAGUCUCUUGAGAGACUGGAUUGUUCCUUUAACAAUCCGAAGAUUUGUCUCCACUUCGCCAACUGCUUCAAACUGAAUCAAGAAGCCAGAGACCUCAUCAUACACACAUCAACUUCUAGAUAUGCUAUAUUACCGGGUGCACAAGUACCUGCCUGCUUCAAUCACCGACCUACUGCUGAAGGUUCCUUGAAAAUCAAGUUGACUAAGUCACCUCUUUCUACAUUCUUGAGAUUUAAGGCUUGUAUCAUGCUGGUUAAGGUUAAUGAAGAAAUGAGUUUUGAUCAGAGAUCGAUGAGAGUAGAAAUUGACAUCAAGGACGAACAGAAGGAUCUCAAAGUUUUGCGUACACCAAGAGGCUUUACAAUAGAUCAACUUUUAACAGAGCAUAUCUACACAUUUGAACUCGAAGUAGAGGAGGUGACUUCCAUGGAUCUUGUCUUUGAGUUCAAAACAUACAAUAGAAAAUGGAAGAUCGGAGAAUGUGGGCUACUCCAAAUUUUGGAGGUUCCUUCAUGUUAAUGAACAUGAUAAAAGCUUCAGAGAUGGCAUUAGAGGGAGGAGGUUAGAAGGUUUUAUGCCAUUUUCAUCUUUAACUAAUAAAAAUUGUGCAUUACUUAUGCUAUACUUGUGUAUGAUUAUCAAUGUGUAUUGUUGGGUAAUUUCUAAUUGAAGUUAUUUGCAGAAAUGAGAUAUAUACAAACAAAGACAGUGAAAAUAGAGAUGAGGAGGGAAAGAAGGAAGAAUCUAUGUCAUGAGUAGAAGAAUCUGAAAAUCCAACACUAGGAAGCUGUGGCGACUUUGAAGUUCAUGGAAUUGAGAUAACAUCAUUAUCUAGACUGAUUAAGGCAUUUGAUUUCAGAGAAUUUGAUCUUGUUCUUGCAAUGAAUGAACAAACCAAAGGUAGAGUAAAGAGUAAUUAUUCAACAUUCAACCAAAAAUAUUAUGUGGUUAGAAGUGCUUAGUUUUUGAAGAGUUGAAGUUAACUUCAGUUAUUGAUGAAUGUUGAUGUUUUGCAGAGGACAUAUUGAAGUCUUUUAAUGUACAAAAUCAAGAGGGAAUUUCCCACCUGAUGAAGAUAAAAAAGUACCGUUAGUGUUUGUUCUUUAGAAAGUUGCUCCUCUAGUUAGGUUAAUAAGCAUCACUUUAGAGCUCAUUUAGUUGUAAGUCAAUAAAGUCACUAUAUAAGGUCGUUUAGGCAAAGAAGUAAACGGGAGUCAUCAUAUGGGGCAGUUAACUCGGUUGGUAGAUGUGGGGCUUAGUUUGCACUUCUCUUAAUGCGUCUUUCAAUUCAAAUGCUUAUAUUCCUGGUUGAUCUGUUUUGUUAGGAGAAAGCUCACAUGGAAACUUGAAUAUUGAUCUCUUAAUUACUUGGUCUACUUGUUUUCUUUGACAGGUACUGGUCUUGGUAGAAGAUGCAUGUGACUGUUUACUGGAUAGUAUCACUACGGCAAGUUGAUGAAAUUGCAAGUUCAAAAUCUUAAUUCCGGAACUAUUAGGAAGACUUUAUGCCUUUAAGAGAAUCCCACAAUCAACAUUUUGGCAAAUUUGAUUCAACAAAGCUGCAUCUGAGAUUUUCUUUGUAAUUGGUUGUGAAUAUUAUGAUAAGUUCGUUGCCGCAGCUUGACCAUAAACCAUCUAUGUAAUUUAGCAGUCCAGACAGUGUCACCUUUUUUGUACCGUGGGUCAUAAGUUUCGUCGGCCUCCAGAUGUGGUUCAUCAAAAGUCUUAUCUUCCAACUCGAUCAAACAAUCAAUAUCUUCCACAACAAUAAUCGAACGAUUAGCAGUCGCAAUUAGCUAUCGCCAGAGCUCGGAAUUGUUGUUUACUAUAGACAACUCUAAGUCAUAAAUAUCGAAGUUGAGUUGAUUGGCCAUGGCUGCGAUCAAGCUUAUUUUCCUUGUUUUUGGUGGAACAUACAACAAAUAACCCCUCUUCCAAGCAUUACCAACCCUCUUAUAUAUAGAAGUCUCUCCAUUGUAUGAACUGGUCAAGAUCUUUCAUCAUAAAUCUCUUGGGAUCCCCAUAUCUCUUGACAUCUGAAUCUAUUGCUAGCGUCUUGAAGGUAAAAGGAUGGUCAAGAAUCACACAGGUCCAAGCGUUUGCGUAAGUCCCAUACAUGUUAUAUGGGUCUUUAGCGUUGUUUAUAAAAUUGUCCAUUGUUACAACAAUUCAACACUGGUGAAAAUCCUAGUGGAUGUAGAAAAUUUUGAAAAGAGAAGGAAAUAGAAAAUACAAUUCAACACAGAUGAUGUACUAGAAUCGAAGGAAAAAAGGUGGAGCAGGUUUUGUUUGGACAGGGAAAAACAGGAAACACAAUCUGUGUGUUUGGUUACUUUCCCAUAUAUAAAGAAACAUGCAAAGUUCCCAUCAAGCUUGCAAGAAGCUAGCGUACUUAGCACCCAAAGAGAAGCCUCUGGAUGCACAAGAGGGCGUUCUUGGUGACCUCGACGUUCUCGUGGUACAUCAGUUUCAUCACUCGUUCUUUCGCCUUGAGGUCUGUUACGAUGACUCUCCCUGCUGCAUGGUACUACUGUAUAAACUGUGAUAGAUCAAAGCAUGCCACCGCCAGUGAUCUCGGAUCACUCGACGCAGGGGCGGAUCUACAGUAUGAAUAGGUGGGGCACGUGCCCCACACUACUUCUUAGUAAUUAGCUAGUAACAUCUUAAGAUUAAAUCCUUUAGUUCACAGUUGGUAACUGGGCGACCCAUGUGGCAUAUACUAUUUGCUUUUAGUUCUAUAUUAUUUUUCUAUUUACAGUUUAACUUUAACAAAUUUAAUUCAUAUUUUUACUGUAAAGUAUACAUAUAUCUUAAUUGAAAAAAUGUUAGGAAAAAUAGUAAAUUAGUAACAUUAAACAAAAUUAUCACUUUUGUAGUCUCUUAAUUUAUUAUUUUAGAGUUUAAAUUUGUGUUAAUAAGUAAAUUUAAUAUAUUAUAUAUAUUUAUAGUGAAUGGAAGUUUGUAACUGUCUAUUUUCUAAUUAAUAGUAAUAGAUGUAGUUAAGUAUAUUUAUAAACCAAUAGAAACAGUACUUUCAAAAAAUUAUGUGUGUUUCUUUGUAAUUGGUUGUGAUUAUUAUGUGACGAAUCGCAGCUUCACCAUCUCUGGAAUUUAGCAGUCCAGAGAGUGUCACUUUUUUGGUACCGUGGGUCACAAGUUUCUUCUGCCUCGCAAAGUGGUUCAUCAAUAAUCUUAUCUUUCAAUUCGAUCAAACAAUCAAUAACUUCUACAACAGUAAUCGAAUUGUUGUUAUCUGGGUUUAGAGUGAUGAUCUUGAGCGUUUUCUUCUCUUGCUUCACCAACGUGGCUCUUUUCACCAUGAAUGGUUGGAUUCAAGGUAUAUGUCGUUAAAUUUCUUGGACUCAACAUUGCGGCAAUGGAGGACCAUUGAAGAUGUCCACAACUUACUCGUCACGUUCUACGGUAACGUUAUAGUCAUUUUCUUUCUCAUGGUUUACUCACUUUGAUUAUUUUGUUAGAAGGAGAGAUUUUGAUUAGCCUCAACGGCCUCAAAGAGUCCGUGUGAACGACUCUCAUCCAGUGUUCUAAAAAGCGGUCUAGGCGGUCGCCUAGGCCCCGACUAGGCGCUAGGCUCUCAUCCGACGCCUAGAUAACCGCCUUGACCGCCUAAAAUUACAUAGAUCUUGUUUAAUGUAUUUUUUAAUUUCAAUUAGAGUUUUAUUUAUAUAUAUAGUUAUAAAUAUUCAUAUAUUGUUUAAUAUAAAUAUAAAUAAAUAUUUUAUCUAAUUUUUGUUUAUAAUUUCAUAAUUUUUAGUUUUAUAUAGAUAUUUUAUAUAACUUUUAUAUAUAAUAUCAUAUUGAUAAUGUUUUAUGUUAUAAACGUCUAAACCGCCUAAAAAAUCGUUUAGGCCCCGAUUAGGCGUUCUAGGCGCUAGGCACUGGGUCACCGCCCGCUUAGCGCCUAGCGCUUUCUUGAACACUGCUCUCAUCAAAUGAACACCAACAUUUGAAAGCCUAUAUUGCCAAUUAUACCCCUCUCUUCCUUUGCCUUUCUGGGGAAUGAAUGAUACUCCUCCGUCACACUACUACUAUCCCAAGCUCACGGCUUCUCCAACAAUCGCUUCCUAUUUACUAUUUUGCCACCACACUUACUUUCUUCCUUCUAAUUUCCGAUCAUCUGAUAAAAAACCCAGAAUUUCUCCUUCCCUUAGAUGGCGACGACUCCGACGCAGAGCAGCGAAACUAAACCUUUCUCUGUUCUUUUUGUCUGUCUCGGAAACAUUUGUCGGAGCCCAGCAGCUGAAGGUGUCUUUUAGAGAUUUUGUGAAGAAGAGAGAUCUCGAUUCCAAAUUCAAAAUUGAUUCCGCUGGAACCAUUGAUGAUCACGAGGUAUAACAAUAAUAAUUCAGUUUCGAAAUCUAAUUUUAGGGUUUAUGAGAGAUGCUUGAUUUGAACAAUUGGUGAAUGAUGGUUUUAUAUGUAGAAACUAGAAAGGUUUGGUUUUGGUUUUAGGGUUUUUUGGUGGAUGUAGUUUUGUCGGAAUACAGAGCUAUAGAAACUUUGAAAUUAAUGUUUCUGAAUCAAUUUUAAUAUGAAACUGCUCUUAUUACAAGGGAAGAACAAAAACAGUAAUCUAUUUUAUGAUGAUUGGAACAAUUAGUGGAUGUAAUUUGGUCGGAGUAAGAAAUUUAUGUUUGAUUUUGGCUUUAGGUUUUUAGUGGAGACCUUGGAAUUUAUGUUCCUGAUUCAGUUUUUGAUUUGUGAAACUGUUGUUUAAAAAGGGGAAUAUGGCGGAUCCAAGAAUGACAAGUGCUGCGAAACGUCGUGGGAUUGAGAUAACAUCAUUAUCUAGACCGAUUAAGGCAUCUGAUUUCAGGGACUUUGAUCUCAUUCUUGCAAUGGAUGAACAAAACAAAGGUAGAAGAUUGAGUAAUUUAUUCAACGUUAUAGAGGAAUUGUGUGGUUAGAUCGAUUUCUAUGCAAAUGGGAUUCAGCCUAGGACUAGGAAUUUGCAAGUUGAGAUCUGAUUUGUUAUGGAUUAUUGAAAUGAAUAUGAAUUUGAAUGUUUGAUGUCUGCAGAGGAUAUAUUGAAGGCCUAUAAUGUAUGGAAAGCCAGAGGGAAUUUCCCGCCCGAUGCAGAUAAGAAGGUACCGUUAGUGUUUGCUGGACUUUGGAACUCUUUUUAGGCUAUUUUCAAAACACUUUCUUUGAAAUUUUCAGGUUAAGCUAAUGUGUUCGUAUUGCAAGAAACACAAUGACAAGUUUGUUCCUGAUCCAUAUUAUGGUGGAGCUCAAGGUUUUGAGAAGGUAAUUACCAUUAGAUAUUUAAGCUGAUUGUGGAUUAGUAACUUUUGGUUUAGGCAGAUGCUACCUAUAAAAUUUCAGCUAUAUUGUCUUUUCAAAAUGGUUUAUAAGACUUUCAAAAUGGCAUGCCACUAUCACUCCCAAGUGACCUAUUUGAGAAUUUUACUGUUUGAUCUGUUUUGUUAGGACAAAACUCACUUGGAAAUUCGAAUCCUGAUCAGUGACUUGUCUACUUGUUUCUUUCACAGGUACUGGACUUGCUUCAAGAUGCUUGUGAGUCUUUGCUGGAUAGUAUCACUGCGCAAAGUUGAUGAUACUACAAGUUCAAAGUCCCAAUCCCAGAACCUUUUGUUGUUUUUGCACAUAGAAUUGAAAAUUCUCUUAUUACAUUUAAGCAUCAUCAUUGAUGUCAAUAGAGUGAGAACUGAUGUGAAGCUUGAAUCUUGUUGGUGUUUUCCUUGAAAAAACCUUUGUUAAGUGAUCUACUAAUGGAUCAUUAAUAUUGAGAUUGCUAGCUUCAAUGAUUUCAAUAGUUUGUGAGGAAUUAUCUUGCUGAUUCUUAAGAACAGAUUCGUGUAUCAUAGAGGGUGGCACUCUUGAGACAAGAAAUCGAAGAUCAGCUGAGAAAUUGGAAUGCUCAUGGCUGAUGAAUCAAGCUCGAGAAGAAGAAUGAGAAACAACAAUGGGGGAAGCAGAAUUCCUCAUAGCUCUGAUACCAUAUUAAGAGAGAGAGAGACAAAAUAAAGUGUAUUUUCUCAUUAAACUUAGAAUGAAUGUACAUGUGAGUAUCCUAUACAAGUAUAAUCUCUAACUAACUAUACAAGUAUAUGCCUUGUUUGAAAAAUCGCUAGGCGCUAGUCGGGCGCUCGGCAUGGGCCUAGCGAUUAAUCGGAAAAUCGGAUUAAAAUCGGAGAUUAAUCGGGGAUUAGUUUUAGGGUUAUUUUAAUAUGCUUAAAAUAUAUUAAUCCAAUAUUGUUUUCAAAAUUACAGUAAAAACAAUUUUUUAUGAUUUUUAUUAAAAUUUGAACACAAGUUAUGUAAAACAUCACAAACUCCCAAUUCAAAUGAUUGAAUAACAAAAAUAAAAUAUUUUUUUUAUACUUGCAAUCUAAAAAAUAAUCGGGGUAUGUAAAAUUAGGCGGAAAAUAAUCGGAUUAGGCGGGAAGUAAUCGGAUUAGGCGGAGAAUAAUCGGGUUACUGAUUUUUUAGGGGAUUAGUCAUUAAUCGAGGCGGAGAGGGUGGGCCUAGCGAUUAAGCGGGGAGUAAUCGGGGUUAGGCGGGGAUUUUUAGAACAGGGAGUAUAUGUGACGGGACUGUAUAAAGUGUAUAUAUCUAAUAACGAUUAAAUAAUAUGAACUCUUUUGUUCUAUCAUUAUUAUUAUUAGGGAGAGAAAUAGAAAAAAAGAAAGUGUGGACGUGAAGUGUUGUUGCUUGAGAUUAGGCCUUGGCACAAAUAUGGAUCCACAUAGAACCAAACCGAACCGAACCGAAAUUGAUGGGUAUGGUUCGGUUCUGGUUCUAAUAAAAAUAUCGAUUGGAUCUUGAAUUUCAGAUCUAUGGGUAUUGGUUCGGUUCGGGUAAGAACCGAGAUCCAAAUGGGUACCCGAAAAAUAUAAUCCAUUUACCUAUAUCUAUAUAUCCCAAAGCCCAAAUCCAUACAAACUUAAACCUAAACCCAAGCCCAACAACCCACUAUAUAUAUUUCAUAAACCUAAAGAGAAACCUUGUAAUAUCUGAGAUUGAAGAUCAAGACAAGCUUGAGAAAGGUAAUAUCUCUUGUCAAUUUUCUUGAAUACUUGUAAAUCUGUGUAGUCUAAGUGUCUUAAUUAUUGUCUGUUUUGAUGUUUAGAGUUUGAGUUUGGCUGCGAAGGGAAUUAAGCUGACUCACGUUUUGUUAAGAAGAUGGUGAUGGACUCUAGUAUCUAUUCAGGUCAUUUUUUCCCUUUCUCUAGUUCUAUUCUCUGUGAUUCAAAUUUCAUUUCAUUGUAUUAAAAGUCUUUUUGUACAUUUUAUUUCAGGUUUUGUGGUGUUUUUUGAUACAAUCUUUGGAGAGAAGAAAAAGGAGAAGAUUGUAAUUUGAAACAGAUUUAAAUUUCGGGUUAUUUUGGUGUCUUAAAAACUUGUGUUUUUCGGUAUCUUUGAAACUUUGGGUGUCUUUUGACAUAACACUUUCCAAGUUUCGAAUAUUUUUUGGAUUUGUAAUGGUAUGCUUACUAAUAUGUGAUUGCAUACUUACCUAAUUGCAUUUGAAUAUUGUAUUAUGAUUGUUUUGUUUUCUCGGUUCCAAAAAUACCCAAAAUAAUUUGGUUCCAAAAUUUAUUACUCGAACCGAACCGAACCGUAGAGGAACCGUAGAGGAACCGAACCGAUUUUGAUUUGGUUCCAAUAUGGUUCCUAAAUUUCAGAACCAAAAUACUAAGAACCGAACCAUUUACCCAAACGUCCAGGCCUACUUGAGAUGAUAAUAGUGGGGACAUUACUAGUUUGAAUUAUAGUCAUAUCUCCCUUAUCGAGAACAGUGAUUUUGUCGUUUGCAACAUUUUUUCCACGAAAUCUCACUAUAUUGUCAAUAGAAUCGUCAUUGGUCCUUUGUUAAAAUCACGAAAUCUCUUCUUCUUUGUUAAAAUCCUUCCUCCAUCCAUCUAGGAUCUUGCUCCAUCCUUCACCAUACUAAUGAAUUCUGCUUCUUUUUUCCUGGUCUUGGUCGCAGCCGCUAUAGGUUUCUUCAUGCUUUUCAGAAAAUUCAAAUUCCAACAAGAGAGCAAAGAUACUAAAGCUUCUUCUUUAUCUCUUCCAUCUCCUCCAACUUCAGUGUCUCGAAUCUGGAAACAUGAUGUAUUCCCGAGCUUCCAUGGGGCAGAUGUCCGAAGAACCCUUCUUAGCCACAUCAUGGAAUCGUUCAGAAGAAAGGGAAUUGACACAUUCAUUGAUAAUAAUAUAGAGAGGAGUAAGCCGAUCGGUCCUGAGCUCAAAGAAGCUAUCAAAGGAUCGAAGAUUGCGAUAGUCUUGCUCUCCAAGAACUAUGCUUCUUCUUCCUGGUGUCUUGAUGAAUUAGCGGAAAUCAUGAAGUGCAGGGAAGUGUUGGGUCAGAUAGUCAUGACUAUUUUUUAUGAAGUGGAUCCAACUGACAUAAAGAAACAAACCGGAGAUUUUGGAAAAGCCUUCAGAAAAACAUGUAAGGGUAAAACCAAAGAGCAUAUUGAGAGAUGGAGAAAAGCUUUGAAGGAUGUGGCCAUAAUCGCCGGAGAGCAUUCUCGCAACUGGUUUGUCUUUUUGAUUUCUACUCUCCUUAAUUAAUAUUUACUUAUUAGAGUUUAUUUGUAGCUUUCAAAUAAAUAUCAAGACAAGAAAAUGCAUAUGUUUUGGAUGUGUGUAUAUGAGAAUUUUUCAUGACUAGACUAAGUAACAAUUUUACUCGAUAUCAAUCAAUGUUAGGAGCAAUGAAGCGGAGAUGAUUGAAAAGAUAUCCAUUGAUGUUUCAAACAUGUUGAAUUUAUCCAUACCAUCAAGAGAUUUCGAAGGGUUAGUAGGGAUGAGAGCUCAUAUGGAUAGGAUGGAACAAUUCUUACGCCUAGAUUUGGAUGAAGUAAGGAUGAUUGGGAUUUGGGGACCGCCUGGGAUUGGUAAGACAACUAUCGCCAGAUUUCUGCUUAACCAAGUCUCCGACAGAUUUCAACUUAGUACAAUCAUGGUCAAUAUCAAAGGAUGCUAUCCAAGACCUUGUUUCGAUGAGUACACUGCACAAUUGCAACUACAAACCCAAAUGUUGUCUCAGCUGAUCAAGCAUAAAGAUAUCACAAUUUCUCAUUUAGGAGUGGCACAAGAACGUUUGAAAGACAAGAAAGUGAUUCUCGUUCUUGAUGAAGUGGACCACUUAGGACAGUUAGAAGCCUUGGCGAAAGAAAUUCAAUGGUUUGGUCCUGGAAGUCGGAUUAUUAUCACAACAGAAGAUCUUGGAGUUUUGAAGGCCCAUGGGAUCAAUCAAGUUUAUAAAGUGGAUUUUCCAUCAAGUGAUGAGGCUUUUCAAAUCUUCUGUAUGAAUGCCUUUGGUCAGAAACAACCACAUGAAGGUUUCCGUAACCUUGCUUGGGAAGUUAUCGCUCUAGCUGGUGAACUCCCUUUGGGAUUGAAGGUUCUAGGCUCCGCUCUGCGGGGGAUGUCCAAGCCAGAGUGGGAAAGGGCACUACCAAGGUUAAAAGCUAGCCUCGACGGAAAAAUAGGGAGCAUUAUACAGUUCAGUUACGAUGCCUUAUGUGACGAAGAUAAAUAUCUAUUUCUUUAUAUAGCCUGCCUUUUCAACUUUGCAUCAGUUCAUAGAGUGGAAGAGGCUCUGGCAAACAAAUUCUCACAUGUGAGGCAUGGUCUUCACGUUUUACAUGAGAAAUCUCUCAUAUCUAUUGAAUACGAAAGAAUACAGAUGCAUACUCUGCUACAACAAUUCGGAAGAAAAAUAUCCCGUAAGCAAUUCGUUCAUCAUGGCCUUACGAAACAUCAACUUUUGGUUGGUGAAAGAGAUAUAUGUGAUGUGUUCGACUAUGAUACAUCAGUAAGUUUUGCCAUUGCAUCGCCUAUAUGAAUUGAGUUUAUUUGAUAACUAAUCAUCAUUACUGAUUUUCUUCUGGCUCUAUUUCAGGAUAGUAGACGUUUUAUAGGGAUAAAUUUAGAUUUAUCUAAGACUGAGGAAGAAUUGAAUAUAAGUGAGAAAGCACUUGAAAGAAUGCAUGAUUUUCAAUUCGUUAGAAUCUAUGGUGAUGAUCUUGGCCAGACUAAGAGACUGCAAUCAGUAUUGCAAGGUCUGAUUUACCAUUCUCAAAAGAUUAGAUCACUGAAUUGGAGAUAUUUCCAGGAUAUAUGUUUGCCUUCUACUUUUAAUCCUGAGUUUCUCGUCGAACUAAAUCUGCAAGACAGCAAGCUUCAGAAGCUAUGGGAAGGAACUAAAGUAAGUAGUUUUGAUGAAAACUUUCAAUUUUUUUUUAAAUCUAUAAUUUGUUUCCGAAAAUGUUUUUUCUUAACAAACUCCAAAUUUAUAGGCCAAUCGUAUGAACAUGAUCUUCUUUGUCAAAUGCAGCAACUUAAAAAUCUCAAAUGGAUGGAUUUGGGUGGUUCUAGAGAUCUGAAAGAGCUUCCCGAUCUUUCAACAGCAACUAAUCUCGAAGAAGUAGAUCUCCAAUAUUGCUCAAGUUUAGUGGAACUUCCGUCUUCUAUUGGGAAUGCAACCAAACUUGAGCGACUGUAUCUUCGUGAUUGCUCAAGUUUAGUGGAACUUCCCUCUAUUGGGAAUGCAUCCAAACUUGAGCGGUUGUAUCUUGAUAAUUGCUCAAGUCUUGUGAAGCUUCCCUCCUCUAUCAAUGCCUCUAAUCUCCAGGAAUUGUCUCUAAAAAAUUGUUCACGUGUUGUGGAGCUCCCAGUAUCGAGAAUGCGAGUAAAUUGUGGGAAUUAAAUCUCCUAAAUUGCUCAAGUCUACUAGAGCUCCCUCCUUCUAUUGGAACUGCCACAAAUCUGAAGGAAUUGUAUAUCAGUGGAUGCUCAAGUCUCGUGAAACUCCCCUCCUCUAUUGGAGAUAUGACUAAACUCAAAAAGUUUGAUCUAUCCAACUGCUCAAGUCUUGUGGAGGUUCCAUCCGCUAUAGGAAAACUUCAAAAAUUGUCUAAGUUGAAAAUGUAUGGAUGCUCAAAGCUAGAGGUUCUUCCAACAAAUAUCGACUUGGAAUCUCUCCGUACACUUGAUCUCAGAAAUUGCUCCCAGUUGAAAAGAUUUCCUGAGAUCUCCACAAACAUUGCGUAUCUCAGGCUCACAGGAACUGCAAUAAAAGAAGUUCCUUUGUCGAUCAUGUCAUGGUCUCGUCUUUAUGACUUUGGGAUUUCAUACUUUGAAAGCCUCAAGGAAUUCCCGCAUGCUCUUGACAUCAUCACGCAGCUGCAGUUGAACGAAGAUAUACAAGAGGUUGCUCCAUGGGUCAAGGGAAUGUCUCGUUUACGUGUGCUUAGACUCUACAACUGCAACAAUCUGGUAUCACUCCCACAAUUUUCAGAUUCCCUAGCUUACAUAGAUGCAGACAAUUGUCAAUCCCUUGAGCGACUGGAUUGUACCUUUAACAAUCCAGAUAUUCAUCUCAAAUUCCCCAAAUGCUUCAAUUUGAAUCAAGAAGCCAGAGACCUCAUCAUGCACACAUCGACUUCGGAAUAUGCGAUCUUACCGGGUACACAAGUGCCUGCCUGCUUCAAUCACC